CGGCACAGACUGACUGCAGCCAGCAUACCGAUCCGGCUGUCAGCCUCCCUGCAAGACCUCUGCCUGCUUCACCGGCACAGACCGACUGCAGCCAGCAUACCGAACUGGCUGUCAGCCUCCCUGUUCCUCGCCAAGCAAACUAAUGACGGGUCCAUCAGAAGCGCUGCGGAGAGAGCUGGGGUCUUUGCUCCUGCCAAGCUCUCUACGUGAAUACAAGCAGCAACCAAACAAAAAGAGGAGCUGGGGAUAUGAGGCCGUGCUACUUGAAAAGCGGGUGCCCCUGGAUUCCUUGAAAGCGGGUGCCCCUGGAUUCCUUGACAGCGGGUGCCGCUUGACUCCUUGGAAGCGGGUGCCCCUGGAUUCCUUGAAAGCGGGUGCCCCUGGAUUCCUUGACAGCGGGUGCCCCUGGAUUCCUUGACAGCGGGUGCCGCUUGACUCCUUGGAAGCGGGUGCCCCUGGACUCCUUGAAAGCGGGUGCCCCUGGACUCCUUGAAUGCAAGUGCUCCUGGACUCCUUGAAAGUGGGUGCCCCUAGACUCCUUGGAAGCGGGUGCCCCUGGAUUCCUUGAAAGCGGGUGCCCCUGGAUUCCUUGAAAGUGGGUGUCGCUGGACUCCUUGAAUGCAGGUGCUCCUGGACUCCUUGAAAGUGGGUGCCCCUGGACUCCUUGAAAGCGGGUGCCCCUGGACUCCUUGAAAGCGGGUGCUGCUGGACUCCUUGUCUGGAUGCAUGAUAGUGGUCCAAAAAGGGGGGAAUAAGACCCUGGGAGGUAGCAGCCCCCACAGAAAAACCAGUCCUUUUGAACCAAAUAGCUAAAAGAUCAUACAUCACUGGCCAUGAGAGACACUGCUCCUUCGGUGACCAGCACACACGCCCCUUACCGUCGCUGUGUGUUCCCAUUGACUCUCACUGCAGUACAAUGUACAAGGCAUGAUCCACCAAGCGGUAGAUGGUGAGGCACAUAUCUUGUUUUUCUCAGAUUUAUUGGCGUUGCCAGUACAAAAUAAAAUAAAAUAACACCACUUAUCUCUGGCUUACCUUGAAUUCGGAGCAGAUGCAGAGAUGUACAGAAUAAUAUAGCAUUUCAUCAAGUUUAUUGUUUCAUUUUGAGCAUAUACAAAAUGUUAAUAAAUCACAGAGGAACUUAUGUUUCCAACAUAGACUUUAUACAAAAAUUAUACCCAUAAACAAUAAAUUCAUUCUCCAGAAGCUUUAUGGCAGCAGCCUACUUUUGUUUGUUCAUUUGUGUGUGUAAGAGCUGUGACACUCAUAGCUGUGACACUCAUAGCUGUGACACUCAGAGCUGUGACACUCAUAGCUGUGACAAUUCAUAGCUGUGACAAUUCAUAGCUGGAGGAUAACUGACCUCAUUGAUGGGUGCCAUGUUGUUCCAGCACAGAAUUACUUGUAAUUUCCAGAAAUUGUUUUUUUUACCACCUAGGGGACCUUAAUCGACAAAACACAAUGAGAUGGUACUGCAAAUGGAGAACACAUUACACCUGAUAAGUACAGUGUACCAACCAAAGAUACAGAAUGAGGCUUAUAUCAAUGAAGCAAUAUAUCGCUACCAUUUUAAGAAACAUUCAGAGCUGUGUUUUACAAACAGGAUUUUCCUAGACACAUACGAUGCAUUCUUUCUUCAGCUGUACACAAUGCAAGUCACAAUCUAGGCAUCGGUAAACAUUUUCAGAAAAUCCAUCAAAAUCUUUUAGAAUAAAAUGCGCCAAAGGUAUCUCAAUUAACAAAAGGCUGGCAUUUUAGUUUUAAAGAUCACAAGAUUACGGCUUUGAAUUAGGUGGUAUUCUGUGGAUACAGUACAACAAUAAUUCAAGAUGGCAGUAUGUUUGUAAUGAAUUAUUAAUGCGUUUAUGGCUGU